UCUGGUGGCUAUAGCGAAGGUGUUACACCCGAUCCCAUUCCGAACUCGGCAGUUAAGCCCUUCAGCGCCGAUGGUACUACUCGGGUAACUGUGUGGGAGAGUAGGUCGCUGCCAGAU
rnacentral:rRNA from 1 species